rnacentral:rRNA from 1 species
AACGAACGCUGGCGGCAUGCCUAACACAUGCAAGUCGAACGGGAUCCAGGCUUCGGCCUGGUGAGAGUGGCGGACGGGUGAGUAACACGUGGGAACCUGCCUUUUGGUUCGGGAUAACCGCGGGAAACUGCGGCUAAUACCGGAUGCUCCCGAGAGGGGAAAGAUUUAUCGCCAGAAGAGGGGCCCGCGUCCGAUUAGGUAGUUGGUGAGGUAAUGGCUCACCAAGCCGACGAUCGGUAGCUGGUCUGAGAGGAUGAUCAGCCACACUGGGACUGAGAUACGGCCCAGACUCCUACGGGAGGCAGCAGUGGGGAAUAUUGGACAAUGGGGGCAACCCUGAUCCAGCAAUGCCGCGUGAGUGAUGAAGGCCUUAGGGUUGUAAAGCUCUUUUGCCAGGGAAGAUGAUGACUGUACCUGGAGAAUAAGCCCGGCUAACUUCGUGCCAGCAGCCGCGGUAAU